ACCCAAGGCAGAAUUUAAUAUUUACAUUUAAUUUAAAU
rnacentral:sRNA from 1 species